UACGGAGGGUGCAAGCGUUAUCCGGAUUUACUGGGUUUAAAGGGUGCGCAGGCGGACUAUUAAGUCAGUGGUGAAAGCCCCGGGCUCAACCUGGGAAUUGCCAUUGAUACUGGUGGUCUUGAGUAUAGUUGAGGUAGGCGGAAUGCAACAUGUAGCGGUGAAAUGCUUAGAUAUGUUGCAGAACACCGAUUGCGAAGGCAGCUUGCUAAACUAUUACUGACGCUCAGGCACGAAAGCGUGGGGAUCAAACAGG
rnacentral:rRNA from 1 species